rnacentral:rRNA from 1 species
GACGAACGCUGGCGGCGUGCUUAACACAUGCAAGUCGAACGGAAAGGCCCUGCUUUUGUGGGGUGCUAGAGUGGCGAACGGGUGAGUAACACGUGAGUCACCUGGCCUUGACUUUGGGACAACUUGAGGAGACUGGUGCUACUACCGGCUAGGAGAUCCUGCUGCAUGGUGGGGGUUGGAAAGCUUCGGCGGAAGGGGAUGGAUUCCCGGGUUAUCAGCUUGUGGGUGGGGUAUUGGCUUACCAAGGCUUUGACGGGUAGCCGGCCUGAGAGCGUGACCGGCCACAUUGGGACUGAGAUACGGCCCAGACUCCUACGGGAGGCAGCAGUGGGGAAUAUUGCACAAUGGGGGGAAGCGUGAUGCAGCAACGCCGCGUGCGGGAUGACGGCCUUCGGGUUGUAAACCGCUUUCGCCUGUGACGAAGCGUGAUUGACGGUAAUGGGUAAAGAAGCACCGGCUAACUACGUG